rnacentral:misc_RNA from 1 species
GUUUUGUUUGAUGGAGAAUUGCGUAGAGGGGUUAUAUCUACGUGAGGAUCCGUCACUCGGCGGUGUGGGUUACCUCCCUGCUACGGCGGGUUGAGUUGACGCACCUCGGACUGGGGACCGCUGGCUUGCGAGCUAUGUCCGCUACUCUCAGAACUACGCGCUCAUUUGAGCCCCCGCUCAGUUUGCUAGCAGGACCCGGCGCAUGGUUUGCCGUUACCAUGGAUUUCGAAAGAAACACUCUGUUAGGUGGUAUCGUGGAUGACGCACGCAGGGAGAGGCUAAGACUUAGGUUAUGCUGAUCUCCGUGAAUGUCUA